CAUGAGCCUAAUGGGUCAUAUCUGAGCCCGGGUCAAUUGUACCCGACCCGGUCCGUUUCAUCUUAAUUAUGUAAGUAUGGGAAGCUUCUGGACAGACAUCACUUUUACUUUUCUCUUUUCCCAAUAACCGACUCUUCGGUUCUCUAAAACUCUCUUCCUUCUCUCUACUUUCUCUCUCUAGUUUCUCUGUGAUUUUAUCGAUUAAUCUGAACAUUUACAACCAAUUCAUAGGCAUCUAGCAUAUAUGAAUGUAACCAGCAGCUACAAUAAAAGAAAUGAGUGAUGGAUCCAAAUAUAAUAAGAGCCAUCACCUUCUAUAUUAACUCAUCCCAAUCCUGAGUGGCAGCCAGUAGCAAGAAUAUUUAAACUAUAAUUUUCAUGGAAACAUGCCUAGAAUCUAAUAAGUUUCCCCAAAGGCAAAGAAUCAGUGCACCCAUCAAACGCAAUAACCAAAUUGUCAAAUGACUAGAGUGGAAAGCAAAUUCUAGUUGUGAUUAAAGAAGCUUUAAGGAAAUCAUCAGAGGCACUGGUUUAAAACACAGAACUGGAACUUCAGUUUUUGCAGAGAGAUAGAUGAGAUUCAAUCAAUUUCACAUAGAAAAAGAAGCGUGCUAAGUACUAAUGUGUUUACACCAGCUCUUCUAUUUGAUUAACAAUUGUAAAAUCAAGCAAUCCUUAGUUAUCAUGUAACUACUCAGCAAAUCACAACCACGGUAAACUAACAAUACAGAGUUUGCUCCCAAAAUGUGUAGAUAUGCUGCCUAACAGUAUAAGACAGGGCAAAUUUUAACAUGUCUAACGGUCCGGACAAUUGCCUAAAAUACUGCAGAUGAUUGGCUCGAUUUACUGCCCCAAAUUGAUUGUCUUCAUCAUCUCAAAUGAGCAUAAUUUACCAUGGCAAUAACAUUGCAGAUAGAUUUUCGAACAGGAGAAGGAAAACAAGACAGAUCCGAACACUUACGCUUAAUGAAACAAUUCGAUUUAGACACUAUUUAAACCAUGAUCUAAUAAGAAGAAAUCAUUGGGCAACUCCAAAUUCACCCGUUAACUAGUUACACCUAAAUUCUAAUGCGAGGAAUUAUGCCGAACACAAAGACGAGUUAAACAGUCCACUAAGCUCGAACCAAAGAGAGUGCAACAGAUUUACCCAUGGCAAAAACUAGUAGCAAACCAACAUUUUCAAGUAAUUGAACUAAACGACAGUAAACCGAAGACAACCAGGAAGAUUCCCAUGACAUAUUUCAUGCCGUGUCUCAUUAGAGAACAUCAAACUGGUACACCAUGAGCUCGCGCUCAUGUCCACAGUCCCACAGUCACAGUCCAAUCGAGUUUCAUUAAACAUGCUGAAUACUACUUCGACUAAGCCAUUUCAGAAAAGAAGCAAACCAAAUGUUAUCAAUUCGAAUAUCCAAGUAGAUCUCAACACGACUUCAUCCUUUCUCGAUUUCGAAUUCAAACCAGCAUACAAGACACUAAUCAAAUUGGCGAACGACAGGUAUCACUGAUCGAUCAGUUACACAACAAACAAAGUUCAGGAACGUAGUAAGAUCGAACUAAGCCAACAACGAACUUAAUUUCCAAAACAGAAACACGAUUCAUAUCAAAGCAAAACACAGUAUCGAUUCCAAAUAAGUCGCGACUAAACGGACUCUUUAACAUAUUGCAAACUAACUAGGCUCUCAUCAUAUUUUCAAUAACACCAAAGCGAAACAAGAGAAACAAACGAACCUGGAAAUUAAGCUUUCAAUUAAUGUUGUUGGUGUCGAUUACAACAGAAGAAGAUUCAGCGAUGAACUUGAGAGAUAAAACUGCUACUGAAGAUCCGAAAUAAACAAUGAAGCGACGAAGCAGGAAAACAGCUCAAGGAACGCGAACACGAACACCUCGACUGGCGAACAAUUCUUCAGCACUCAACAACGCUUCAAUCGAAUUCCAUAGUUCAAUACCAAAACCAAAAGAAGAAAACUUAAAAUAUUUUUAGGAGUUGUUUCUGUUUUUCGAAAUGAAACAAAGAUUUCAACCAAAAAUGAAGCUAACACCUCUUUUUUUCUUUUCUGGGAUCCCAAUCGAACGAAAAUUGAAAAAAACAAACAAACUUAAAGAACCUAGAAUCAACCCCCAAUUUUUUUUCUCCAACCUUUUUCUCUCUAAUUUCUCUCCGAAAAUUAUCUAUCUAUAAGAAGCCUAGAAGCUUCCCCUUCCUUUGCAAGAAAUCUCCAAAAGAAACCUCUAAAAAAAAUCCGGAAAUCCUCCAAAAAUAUCCAAACCUUCUGAUUAUCUGAGGCGAAUGAUUUUGGGAGAAAUAGAAGGUCAAAAUUGAUUCAUAAUCAAUCUAUAUCUCCCAUUCAUACAAAAAUCACUCUCAUAUCCGCGUGAAAAUGAACGAGAAUGUUCAGGUCGUUGUAGAUUUGGAUGACGUAGAAGGAGUAUGAGAGGAGGGGACCAUGAGGGGGACCAUGUAAUGAUUUGGGGAAGAUUUUCGGUUGUUUGGGGAGUGGUUUUGCGGGCAGAAGCGGAGAUGGCAAAAGGAAAGAUGAUUGCUUGACUGAUUCUCCCAUGUCUACUGUUUCUUCCUUACCUUCUGGAGAAAAUGAUGUUCUUUCUGAUUCUCCUUC
rnacentral:lncRNA from 1 species